rnacentral:rRNA from 1 species
UACGGAGGGGGCUAGCGUUGUUCGGAAUUACUGGGCGUAAAGCGCACGUAGGCGGCUUUGUAAGUUAGAGGUGAAAGCCCAGGGCUUAACUCUGGAAUUGCCUUUAAGACUGCAUCGCUAGAAUCGUGGAGAGGUGAGUGGAAUUCCGAGUGUAGAGGUGAAAUUCGUAGAUAUUCGGAAGAACACCAGUGGCGAAGGCGACUCACUGGACACGUAUUGACGCUGAGGUGACGAAAGCGUGGGGAGCAA